rnacentral:lncRNA from 1 species
AUUAAUGUCACAAAAUCAAACAACAACAACAAUGUACCCAAUAUUAUCUCAAACCGCAUGGAAAAGAUCCCUUUUGUUCCCCUGUUGCAAAAAUGGGGUGCUUUGAAGUAAUUUUCAUAUUAUCAUACACAUCUAAAUGUGGGGAAAAAAUGUGAAAUAUUCCGUUUGGAACUAGGUAUCAGAAAUAUUUCAUCCAGACACAGAUAUAAUACUAGUGUGUGCUAUGAUUCUUUUUGUUUUUUUCCUCCUUAUUUUUGAUUUUAGCUUCGAUUUUUUGUCAAUACACUGAUAUAAUACUAGUGUGUGCUAUGAUUCUUUUUGUUUUUGUCCUCCUUAUUUUUGAUUUUAGCUUCGAUUUUUGGUCAAGUAAUAUAUGUCUCCUUUCAGAUUGUGCUUGUAUGGACGGAAAAU